GCGUCCUACGGGAGCCAGCAGUGAGGAAUAUUGGUCAAUGGACGAAAGUCUGAACCAGCCAUGCCGCGUGCAGGAAGACGGCUCUAUGAGUUGUAAACUGCUUUUGUACAAGGGUAAACCUGAAUACGUGUAUUCAGCUGAAAGUACUGUACGAAUAAGGAUCGGCUAACUCCGUGCCAGCAGCCGCGGUAAUACGGAGGAUCCAAGCGUUAUCCGGAUUUAUUGGGUUUAAAGGGUGCGUAGGCGGAUUGAUAAGUUAGAGGUGAAAUGUCAGGGCUCAACUCGGGAACUGCCUCUAAUACUGU
rnacentral:rRNA from 1 species